AGAGCUAAAUGGUCAAAACCUAGGAAGGAGAUAUAGGAGGAAAUUCCAAGCAGAAAGAAACAGGGAGGAGGAAGCUAGGUGUACAAUUUCACCAGCAGACUUGAAGCAAAUCAGGCAUGCUGUACUAAGAAGAGGUAACUCAGCCUGUGGCAGAAUGUAGGUGUGUUAGUUAAGGUAUAAGAGUUAGUUGAGACAAGCCUAAGUUAAAGGCCAAGCUUUUAUAAUUAAUAAAAUUCUCUGUGUCAUUAUUUUGGGGUUGGUGAUCCAAAAAUAGUUUGACAAGAAAUCUUGCUACAAGUUUCCACCUGCUGUCACAGAAGGACAUCUCUCUGCUGAUGACCAGAUAAGGCACUGUUAUUUUCUAAUGAGACACAGAAAAGGAGUGGAUCCAGAAGGCAAAUGAGUUGUAUUUGGACACUGGAGACAUUACAAGCUUGAUUACACUAAAAAUGAAGAAAAAGCAGAGCAAGAAAAAAAAUGAGCUGCUUUGGGUUGUGAAGGCACACAUUUCAGUGACACCAGGAAUAGUUUUCAAACACUGGAAACUACAUGGCAAUUCAAACCUAAUCUGGAGGAAAGGAGAUGUCAAGAGGCUGGGAUUCAAGGGAAAUGCAUCAAAUUGAUAAAUAAGAAGAGAGGAAAGACAGUGGCAAC